GGGGAUGUGGCUCAGUGGUAGAGCGAUCGCUUUGCAUGCGAAAGGUCCCGGGUUCGAUCCCCGGCAUCUCCA